AUGUGCUUGAGGAAAAAGGAUUGAAAACGAAGAUCAGAACCCAGCACAUGACAAUGGGAUCAUUUUUUUUCGGACACAGACUCCUGCUUCAUGAAACUCUGCCCUUCCUGCCUGAGCACCGACCUCCAAAGCCAGCACAACAGCCCCUCCAGGCUGCCCCCAGUUCCUUCCCCUGCCCUUUUGAACUUAACAUUGCCUAGUGCAGGAUUUAAGACUUCCACUGACUCAGAAGCUCCACUGGACCUUUCUGGCAUAGGUGACACCAUUGCCAGGGCGGCCACAGCUGAGCUCUAGAUUUAAGUCUGGAAGGUGGGAUGACAGAAUUCAAGUAUGAUGGACGGAGGAAUACAUUUUAAAUAACUAAGGCUGCUGCAUGCAAAAUGCCCUAUAUUUAUUGGCCUCUUAUUCAGGGUUCAUUUUAAUUGUUAUCUGCUCAAGCAAUCCAUACCACAUAAUGAAACGCUUCUAUUUCACCCUCUGAGCUCUGGGGUUUUGUGUGCACCUUUAUUAAUGACCCUUAA